GGCUACGUGGUCUAGUAGCAUGAUUCCUCCUUCGGGCGUCUUACCCGUUAGACAAUGGUCUGACACAGUUGGAGGAGGUCCUGGGUUCAAUUCCCAGCGUGGCCC